CAAAGUCAAGAAAGAUCUGAAAACUGGCACAAUCCAGAAAAGCCUAGUUAUGAGUAAAUAGAGUGUGGUAUCUUGAACAGAAUCUUGGGACAGGAGGCACCACCAGGUAUAAGCCAAGAAAAUGAAACUAGCUGGGAAGAGCUGCCAGUGUCAGAUGUUUGACAUUAGGUACCUGGGAAGCACUCAGAAAGCUCUCCAAGAUCAAUUAAGAAUCGUAAGACACAACAGAAGGACAUUGAACCAAGGACAAAUUAACUGCAGAGGUCACAGAGGCAGGAAGCUAGCCCCAAAGGCAUCCUGUG